AAAAAUUAUUUACCGACCAUUUAAAAAGUAGUCGGUGAUUACCGACCAUUUUUAGGGUAGUCGGUAAAAUAACGACCAUUUUUAGGGUAGUCGGUAAAAUAACGACCAUUUUUAGAGUAGUCGGUAAAUUACCGACCAUUUUUUAGGGUAGUCGGUAAAUUACCGACUAUUUUUAGAAUAGUCGGUAAAUUACCGACUAUAUUAAAACGUUUGCCGACUGUAUGGCUAAUUUAUUUUCCCGAAAAUCGUAGGUUAGUCGGUAUAAUUUAUUACAUUUGUUUACUUUGGGCUUCCUCCCCCCCUAACCCUAGCCAUAUAAAAGAGAAAAAAACCUUAACAACCCUCCUCUCACUCCUACUCACAGCCGUCCUCCUUAAUUUCUUCUCUCACCUCCCUCUUUUUUCUGUCUCCUCCCAACCGUUCUUCAUAAUAUUCAAUCUCUUCAUCAUUUCUCCUUUCUUAUCAUCAUGCAUUUCAUCCUUUCUAUUAUUGCCAAAAAUAAACUUAAUUUCAUAGAUUCACCAUAAUUGUUACGAUAACUAUGGAAGAUACAACCUUUUAAGCAAAUAUGGAGCCAACCUCGAAGGAGCAAUCACCGAACUCGCAAUUGAAGAUCGGGUGAAUUCCAGACCAAUUUCUUUUCUCGCUCCUUGUAGGCGGAGAUUCAUAAACUCAAGAAAAGGAGAAUGGGAUUAUGUUGUAAUCUCGAGGGAGGUAGCUUGUAUGAGUGGAUGAUGCUAGACUUGGGAAGUGGAGCACGAAGAUCGAAGAGAGAUAGUGAUCUUCAGUACCCUCCCCUGAAUUGAAUGACCAGGGUGAACAUUUUCUUACACCUACCCGAACAAAACGACGCGAGGUGUAACACCCUAAUAGUUCAUUGCUUUUAUAAAAUCAUUUUCCAACUUAAAAUAAAGGAAUUACUAUAGUAUUACCACCA